UCGGUCUUGAAAACCGACAGGCGGGUUAAACCGCGCGGGGGUUCGAAUCCCUCUUCCUCCU
rnacentral:tRNA from 1 species